AUUUUGGACAAUGGGGGAAACCCUGAUCCAGCCAUCCCGCGUGUAUAAUGAAGGCCUUCGGGUUGUAAAGUACUUUUUGCAGAGAAGAAAAGGUAUCUCCUAAUACUAGAUAACGCUGACGUUAUCUGCAGAAUAAGCACUGGCUAACUAUGAGCCAGCAGCCGCGGUAAUACGUAGGGUGCAAGCGUUAAUCGGAAUUUAUGGGCGUAAAGCGAGUGUAGGCGGGUCGGAAAGAAAGAUGUGAAAUCCCAGGGCUCAACCUUGGAACUGCAUUUUUAACUGCCGAGCUAGAGUAUGUCAGAGGGGGGUAGAAUUCCACGUGUAGCAGUGAAAUGCGUAGAUAUGUGGAGGAAUACCGAUGGCGAAGGCAGCCCCCUGGGAUAAUACUGACGCUCAGACACGAAAGCGUGGGGAGCAAACAGG
rnacentral:rRNA from 1 species